GGAUUGUGGUUCAGUGGUAGAAUGCCUGCCUAGCAUGUGUGAGGCACUGGGUUUGAUUCUCAGCACCA
rnacentral:tRNA from 1 species